UACCUUGUUACGACUUCAUCCCAGCUACCGCUCAUAGCGUAGGCGGCUGCAUCCUUGCGGUUAGCGCGCCGACUUCGGCUACAAGCGACUCCCAUGAUGUGACGGGCGGUGUGUACAAGGCCCGGGAACGUAUUCACGGCGUCGUAGCUGAUACGCCAUUACUAGCGAUUCCGGCUUCAUGAAGUCGAGUUGCAGACUUCAAUCUGAACUGGGCCCAGUUUUAGUGAUUUCCUCCACCUCGCGGUCUUGGAUCGUUCUGUGCUGGGCAUUGUAGUACGUGUGCAGCCCAGGCCGUAAGGGCCAUACUGACUUGACGUCGUCCCCACCUUCCUCCCCGUUAGAGCGGGGCAGUCUGAACAGAGUGCUCGAGCCUCACGGCUCGGUGGCAACAGUUCACAGGGGUUGCGCUCGUUGCGGGACUUAACCCAACAUCUCACGACACGAGCUGACGACAGCCAUGCAGCAUCUGUGCAAAUCGUCCCUUGCGGGACUCGCUGGCUUUCACCAACUUAGAGAUGCAUGUCAAGGCCUGGUAAGGUUCAUCGCGUUGCAUCGAAUUGAGCCACAUACUCCACCGCUUGUGCGGGCCCCCGUCAAUUUCUUUGAGUUUUAAUCUUGCGACCGUACUCCCCAGGCGGCACGUUUAACGCGUUAGCUCCGGCGCAGAAGGGGUCGAAUCCUCCCACACCAAACGUGCACCGUUUACUGUCAGGACUACCGGGGUAUCUAAUCCCGUUUGCUCCCCUGACCUUCGUGCCUCAGCGUCAGGAACUGUCCAGAGACCCGCCUUCGCCACUGGUCUUCCUUACGAUAUCUACGCAUUUCACCUCUACACCGAGAAUUCCGCUUCCCUCUCCAGCACUCAAUCCCCGCAGUUUCAAGUGCACUUCCUAGGUUGAGCCCAGGGCUUUCACACCUGACUUGCAGGGCAGCCUACACGCGCUUUACGCCCAGUAAUUCCGAACAACGUUUGCACCCUCUGUCUUACCGCGGCUGCUGGCACAGAGUUAGCCGGUGCUUGCUAAAGGGAUACCGUCAUCACCAUGGAUAUUAGCCAUGGCUUAUUCGUCUCCCUCCACAGAGCUUUACAACCCGAAGGCCUUCAUCACUCACGCGGCGUCGCUGCGUCAGGGUUGCCCCCAUUGCGCAAGAUUCCCCACUGCUGCCUCCCGUAGGAGUCUGGACCGUGUCUCAGUUCCAGUGUGGCUGAUCAUCCUCUCAGACCAGCUACCCGUCUUAGGCUUGGUAGGCCGUUACCCUACCAACUACCUGAUGGGCCGCAGGCUCAUCCUCAAGUGCCAGCUUAUGUAUAGUGGCCGGCUUUGACCCCUGCUCCUUUCGAAGCCGUGGUCUUAUGCGGUAUUAGCCCUCCUUUCGGAAGGUUAUCCCCCGCUCGAGGGAAGAUUACCUACGUGUUACUCACCCGUGCGCCGCUGUACCGGGGCCGAAGCCCUUUCUCGCUCGACUUGCAUGUGUUAGGCGCGCCGCUAACGUUCGUUCUGAGCCAGGAUCAAACUCU
rnacentral:rRNA from 1 species